rnacentral:rRNA from 1 species
GAUGAACGCCGGCGGCGUGCCUAAUACAUGCAAGUAGAACGCUGAAGGAUGAUCUUUCUCUUCUGUAUGAGUUGCGAACGGGUGUGUAUCGCGUAUGUAACCUGCCUGUUAGCGCGGGAUACCUCUUGUAAACGCUAGCUAAUACCCCAUAUCAACAGUUUUUGCAUGAUAACUGUUUUAAAGGGGCACCUUCUCCACUACCAAAUGUACCUGCGUUGUAUUAGCUAGUUGGUGAGGUAACGGCUCACCAAGGCGACGAUACAUAGCCGACCUGAGAGGGUGAUCGGCCACACUGGGACUGAGACACGGCCCAGACUCCUACGGGAGGCAGCAGUAGGGAAUCUUCGGCAAUGGACGGAAGUCUGACCGAGCAACGCCGCGUGAGUGAAGAAGGUUUUCGGAUCGUAAAGCUCUGUUGUAAGAGAAGAACGAGUGUGAGAGUGGAAAGUUCACAAUGUGACGGUAUCUUACCAGAAAGGGACGGCUAACUACGUG